rnacentral:rRNA from 1 species
UGGCGGGGGACAACCUUCCGAAAGGAUGGCUAAUACCGCAUAAGUCGGCAGGAUCUAUGAUUUUGUCGGGAAAGGCGGGUCGCAAGAUCUGUCACCAUGAGACGAGCCCGCGUCCCAUCAUGCUAGUUGGUGAGGUAAUGGCUCACCAAGGCUUAGACGGGUAGCUGGUCUGAGAGGAUGAUCAGCCACACUGGAACUGCGACACGGUCCAG